UGUUCUCUAAAUAAGGACUAGUAUCAAUGGCAUCACGAGGGCUACACUGUCUCCUUUCUUAAAUCAGUGAAACUGAUUCUCCCGUGAAGAAGCGGGAAUACCCCUAUAAGACGAGAAGACCCCAUGGAGCUUUAAACUCAACGCACACCUCCUGAGUACCUAAACCCCCAUAACCAAUUUAAAUUGUGCGCUAGUUUUGGGUUGGGGAGACCGCGGAGUAAAACUUAACCUCCGCAACAAACGGAUUAACACCCUUAUCUAAGAACCACACCUCUAAGAAUCAGCAAACUGAUGUCCCAUGACCCAUUUUAUGAUCAACGAACCAAGUUACCCUGGGGAUAACAGCGCAAUCUACUUCGAGAGCUCAUAUCGACAAGUAGGCUUACGACCUCGAUGUUGGAUCAGGGAAUCCCAGUGGUGCAGCCGCUACUAAAGGUUCGUUUGUUCAACGAUUAAAAC
rnacentral:rRNA from 1 species